AUUUUUUUAAGUAAUUCUAAGGUACUGGGGCUGAAGAGAUGGCUCAGUAGUUAAAAGUACUUUCUGUAGGCAGGUGGUGGUAGCCCAGAGGAAGCAGAGGCCGGCAGAUCUCCAAGUGUGAGGUCAGAGUGGUCUAGGACCAAUUCCAAGAUAACCAGUGCUACAUAGAGAAACCCUGUCUUUUUUUUUUUAAAGAUUUAUUUUAUUAUUAUAUCUAAGUACACUGUAGCUGUCUUCAGACACACCAGAAGAGGGCAUCAGGUCUUAUUAAGGAUGGUUGUGAGCCACCAUGUGGUUGCUGGGAUUUGAACUCAUGACCUUUGGAAGAGCAGUCAGUGCUCUUACCCUCUGAGCCAUCUCUCCAGCCCCCGAAACCCUGUCUUAAAGAAAGAAAAAGAAAAAGAAAAAAAGCCAUACUUUUUGGGAUUGUAUUCCCAGUUGGAGAGGAUCAGUCCGACUCCUCGGGUACAUUCUGCAGGCUCAGUCGUGCAUAUGAUACACAAUGAAAAUAUUGUUGUAUGGUUUUUGACAUUAGAUCUACUUGUGUAGCUUCAGCUGGCCUGGUACUCACUUUCUGUUCAGCUCUGUUUGGCAGCUCAUAGCAGUCCUCCUGCCUCAGUGUCCUAAGAGUUGGGAUUAUAGACAGGAGCUGCUACAUCUAGCUUUCAUUGUUAUCUUGAUUGUGUGCUGUGUAUUCCGAGGCACAUAAUAAGCAAGCAACAAGCAACACAUAAGCAAGAUAAUGAUGAUAACAGACCUUACCAUGCACCCUCGUGGUCAUAUUUACUUAGUAUUGCAGUGCAGGAACAUCUUUUAAGAGCACAACAUAAAUAAAAGUUGGUACCAUCACAAUAAAGUGUUGGCAUAGUAUGCAGACCCAGAUAAAGGGAGUCCAUAGCUUAAUCCAGUCCCAGAGAUG
rnacentral:lncRNA from 1 species